GAUCAAGAACGUAGCGAAAUGCGAUAAGUAAUGUGAAUUGCAGAAUUCAGUGAAUCAUCGAAUCUUUGAACGCACAUUGCGCCCGCCAGUAUUCUGGCGGGCAUGCCUGUCUGAGCGUCAUUUCAACCCUCAUGCCCCUAGGGCGUGGUGUUGGGGAUCGGCCAAAGCCCGCGAGGGACGGCCGGCCCCUAAAUCUAGUGGCGGACCCGUCGUGGCCUCCUCUGCGAAGUAGUGAUAUUCCGCAUCGGAGAGCGAUGAGCCCCUGCCGUUAAACCCCCAACUUUCCAAGGUUGACCUCAGAUCAGGUAGGAAUACCCGCUGAACUUAAGCAUAUCAAUAAGCGGAGGA
rnacentral:misc_RNA from 1 species